UACGUAGGGGGCAAGCGUUGUCCGGAUUUAUUGGGCGUAAAGAGCGUGUAGGCGGUUUGGUAGGUCCGUUGUGAAAACUCGAGGCUCAACCUCGAGACGCCGAUGGAAACCAUCAGACUAGAGUCCGGAAGAGGAGAGUGGAAUUCCGGGUGUAGCGGUGGAAUGCGUAGAGAUCCGGAAGAACACCGGUGGCGAAGGCGGUUAGCUGGGCAGUUGCUGACACUGAGGCGCGACAGCGUGGGGAGCAAACAGG
rnacentral:rRNA from 1 species